rnacentral:rRNA from 1 species
UACGUAGGUGGCAAGCGUUGUCCGGAUUUACUGGGCGUAAAGAGCGCGCAGGCGGUCGUUCAAGUCGCGUGUGAAAGCCCCCGGCUCAACUGGGGAGGGUCACGCGAUACUGAUCGACUCGAAGGCAGGAGAGGGUAGUGGAAUUCCCGGUGUAGUGGUGAAAUGCGUAGAUAUCGGGAGGAACACCAGUGGCGAAGGCGACUACCUGGCCUGUUUCUUGACGCUGAGGCGCGAAAGCUAGGGGAGCAAACAGG